AAUUCAUCCUGUGCAUGGGAUCCUGGCCAAAUGAGACCUAAUUAUGAGACAAUCUAGUAUAUGAAAGGACAGAAGGUCAGUGUCAUAGGAAUGCAAUUCAACGAUGACUUGUCUGGACAUAAGUGGCUGUGAAGGUGGAGGAGAUACCAUGAACUAAGCAAGAUUACUCCCUUGUGUUAAAUGGAACCCACAAGAGCACCCCAAAGAGAAGAAGUCAGCACUGGGCCUUUCCUCAUAAACUGCACCCAUGUCAGAUUGCAGCUCCACCCACCCACGGAACAGUUCCCUCCUCUUCUUUUUCUCUGUGUGCCAUAACCCAGAAGAGGAAGUGUCAGAGUCAAGCAUGGAGAAGAAAAGUGGAAGACAGGGCAGAAAAUAUGUGAAGAAGCCAACAACACGUGCUGUGUCCAAAGACUCUAGCUGCUUUCCUUGAUCUAUAGUUUCCCCUUUUGAUGAUGAAUAAUGUAAUUUUAUAAUUAUGCAAUUCUUAACACAGCACAUGGUUGUCCCCAAAUACUUCUUGGUUUCUUUGCUGCGCAGAAAGUUCAUGUGUUCAAGUUCUGCCUUGAGGAGGCAGUGAUGUUAUUAUGACUUCUGAGCACUGUGCUUACAGAUGUGGCAGAACUUUCUCCCUUUCUUGCUCUUCCUGUCAGGAGGAAUUUUUUUUUCGGUCAAAGUGCAUUGAGGUGGAAGUCAGGCUGAAAAUGAUAGACAAACUGGCAGGAGCCUGAGUCCCUGAUGACCAUGUAGAACCACCUUUGGACUCCCGAGCUCUCUUCUUUACGUGACAAGAUAAAAACUUGCUUUUCAUUUUUGGUCAGGCUGUCCGAACCUACUAAAUUACAGUUAUGCUUUCUCCCACCAUGAGGUAGAAUUGAGCUGGAGAGGGAAAAAGAUUUAUCCCUAAACUUGAAUUGCACAGUAGUGAAGCUUUGUACUAUACUUGAAUGACUUGUUAACAUCUAUAGAAAGGGAUGACUCACUAACAUCUCAGAGUGGCCAUACGGAGAUUCAGCUGAACACAUGGGAAAGCAGUGAAGUGAGAGAAUAAAGCUGUAUCUAUUUAUUCCCUACGUACGAGGCUCAUUCAUUCAAUGAAAUGGCUACAUGCUUUUUUUUCUAAUUGACAAGCAAUACUUUAGCAACUCAGUUUAUCAUAUUAAUGAGAUAUUCUACCUUGAAUGGGUCAGAGGAAUGUUUAACCAUUGUUAAUUUUUGCUUAAUAUGAUCUACAAUUAUUUCCAGCUUUGUCAAAGUAUUUGUCCUUCCACAAUUUAGGGUAUUUUGUAGUAAUUUUUUUUAUUAUGAUCGUACAUCAUACUGUAUAUAUUUACUGUUCUCAAACAUAUUUUGGAAGGAGCUUGUGUCCUCUUCCCGCAUGCUUCCUUUCUUGUUUGGUAUCUUGUACAAUUAUAAGACAGCUUUCCCUUGAGAGUCACUAAGGUUUACAGAGCCCUUGAAGAGCAUGCUCUUCAUAAGCAGUCGGAGAAGCCUCUCAUUACACUUCAGUCCUCCUCAAGGAUGAUUUCCCUGUCUUUCAGGUGCUCAGAUAUUCACCUUGGUUGCCCUUGGGAGGGCAUGUUCCUUCUGUCACGGGUGGUAUCAUCCUCUCUUCCAUAGCGAAGGCAAUGGUAUGCCCUGUUUGUAAACUAUUUUUCCACCAUUCCAAACAUACUCGCUGAACUUGGCAGCCCUGUUACUGUGUUUUGGUAACAAAUGAACUAAAAUACAAAUUUAAAAACUUCAUUUCGUUUUUGCUUUCCUCUCUUCUUCCAUCUUUUUGCAAUUACAAGUGUUGCUGCCAGGAGCUUUGUUUAUACACAAAAGAAUUAUGCGUAAGUUUUUAUAUACUUUUGGAGAAAAUGUUAAAAAAUAGAGUAACAGUGGAUAGCUGCUCGUAUUUAUUGAUUUUUACUACACACAAGGUUAUAUGCUGAGAGAUUGAAAUCUGUUUUAAAGUCCACAAUGGAGGCCUUUCUAUUAACAUUUCUACUAAAUACAUAAAAGAAUUGGGGCACAGAGACAUUCAGUAAAAUGCCCAACAUCAUGUGGUUAUACAACCAGAUUUGGAAUCUAGACUGUCUUCUUUCAGUGACACUGAGACAAAACUUCUAUGAAGAUUUAUUCUAAAAUGUAAGUCUGACCAUGUAGCGGUGCCAGUCCAAACCUACCUUACAAAGGUGUUCAGUUUAUGACCAUAACCUAUGCACCUAUAUGUGCAGUCCUUGUCAAACUUGCCUCUCCCUUCUCUCUCUCUAUCUCUCCCCCUCCCUCCCUCCAUUUCUCCCUCUCUCUCUAGCUUUACAACAGGAAAAUGUAGAACACUUACUCCUCGGGCCAGGCUGUGUUCUGUGCACCCAUACUUUAACUUGUGAGGUUCCGUUCAUGCUCUUGUAGACAUUAUAAUCACUCCGUAAAACUUCACCCAUGAAGAAUUUUUUUCCAGCCUUCACCAACAUCAGUAUUAUGCUCUCUAGAAUUGGGUAGGACUGAAAAUAUAGGACCAUCUUUUUGUAAAAAGGCAGAAGAUUUAUACGAUCUGAAGAGAAACCAGAGUAUAGGACCAUUUUUUGGAAAAACAAAACAAAACAAAACAAACUACUAUGAAGCAGAAAAGUGAAAAGUUAAGGGGAUCUCUAGGCCAAAACGUGCAGAUAAGGAAAAUGAUUUUAAUAUAUGAAAAUGUUCCAGUAAAGAGGAAGCUAAAGUAGGAAAACUCCUUAAUGACGGCAGCUGAGAAAAUAUGAAGAGAUAGAAUGGAGGUUAAGAGGGAGAAUUUACCUUAGAGAAGUGCCCUUGGAGGAAAGACACUUUUUUAACCUUGGGAAACAAGGAGAGUCAGCAUUUGUCAAUUGGGAAUCUGAGUGUUAAAAGGAUUUAUCAUUUGCUGUGACUAGGCCACUGAGAAACAGUGAGGUCUUGUGGAGUCAUAUGUAAAAAUAAUAAAUAUGAAUAAGCUCUUUGGAGAAGUCUCUGUUUACAAAGGAGCAUAUCACAUGGAAAAUGUAAGGAGUGAAAAAAAACCCUAAAAGUUUUAAGGAGCAGCAUUGAUCACAUUUCUUUAUCACUUAAUUAGUAAGGUCUCCUUGAUACACCCAGUGGAUCUACUGGGCAGAAUAAAGCCAAUCAAGACUCUGGUAAUCUGAGCAACUGAUUUGAAGGUAACAAUAAGCUAUGGAACUACCAUCGUG